CUUGGGUCAUUUGCAUGAGCAGCGUGGAGGGUUGACUUGGAGUCCGCCGGUGUUGUCCUCUCCACAUGAAUCCCCUAUUGGUUUUGUUCCUCAGGUUGGCUUGGGUCUAACUAAUGAUUUUCCAUCGUUUCAUUUUCCCUCUUUGCUUUGUCUGACGAUGUUUUUAAGCUUGCCCUUGGGUCGACUGUUGAAAGUGGAGGGGGUGAUGAAUUUUUAAUAUUUCUUUGUGGAUUUUCGUUAAAAGGUUUCCAUUUUUAGGAUUUAGGGUUGCUUUAUGAUUUUGGGGAUUUGACACUAGCCCAUGAAUUUCGUAUGGCAAGUUUACGUGUUUGGUCUCAAAUGGAUGAUGUCUCUGGCUAUUUGGCCCUGUCAUAUCUCUUACUGUUCUUGACUUGCUACUGUCUGACCUUUCUAGAUUAUCGAUUUCUCACUUUUUUUUUUUUUUUUGCAUUCUCAAACUUAUUUCAUUUGGGUUCUUACUAUUUAUGUGUUUUUGUACUGCGUUUCUUUUCUUAACUUCACUUCGGCUCUUAGAGGUUCUCAGAUUCAAGUAUUCAGUUGACAAUUGUCUCUCAAGGGUCUUCUUGCUUUUUGUUUACUAUCUGAAAUUAAUUGUUUUCUAUUUCCUCUUUUGUUUUUUUUUUUUGAAACGAUUGUUUACGAUUAUUUUUUUUUUCAGUUUCCAGCAUAACUUGAUGAAUCGAUUAUGUGCUUUCAUAUUUUUCUAAGAUUUUCGCAGAUCAUUUAUGCUUUAUCUUUUUAAACAUGUUAAAUGGUUUGUUUAAAAUACUUACUGUUGGUACGAAAUAGAAUGUACGGAUAUUUAGACUUUCGAUGCUAAGCUUAAUAGAGUGAACAUUGAAAAUAUUCUUUGAUGAAGGUAGUUGUUAUUAAUAAAAGCAUCAUUUUUUAUUUUUUUGAUUCUAAAUAUGCUGAACAAUAUUCUUGACUGUAUAUUUAUUUUGUCUUCGACAUGGUGAUUUGUUGAAAAUACAAUAUGUAUAUGUGCAAAGCAUUUAACUUGAAACUCAUUAUAUAUAAAAUGACUAUACUGUUUGAUGAAGUACUCUCAUGGUUUGUUUUUCGUUAAAGCAUCAUAGUUGUCGGUUUACAUUUUUUUCUGUGUUCAUCAUCAUUUUGAUUAUUGUAUUUGAUGUUUUUAGAUGUGCAGUGCUGGUUGGUCUUUUUUUUUUAUUUUUUGAUUGGUUGUCUCAAUUAAUUUCUUGAUAUCUCUUUUUUCCACAGGGUUUCUAUCUUGCCAUCUCAGUUGUGCGAAAUAUUGUAAGUAAAUAAGUUUUUUAAAUUUAGUUUAGCAUCAUUUGUUUCAUUUUUUGCUGUAAUGUUUUAAAAUGAUUAGAUAUUAUGCUUUUUUCCUCUUUGUUGACCAAAGGUAAUAGUUUGGGUUGUCAUUAAUGGUCCAAUUUUGGUCAGAAAUGAAUCUUUUUAUUCGUUAAGGAAAGGAUUGGUCAUCAAAAAAGAUUGAUGAGUUGUGUAUGAUCUUUUCUUCCUUUAGCGAUGGGAAUGAUAUUUUCUCUAGCCAAAAUUUGGACCAUCUCAUAAUAGCACAACCAGUGUUGAUGUAAGUAAAAGAUAUCAAAUAUUUCUAUGUUUGCUUUUCUUUAUCGAAUGAAACAUAAUUCGUUGC
rnacentral:lncRNA from 1 species